UCUCUCUCUAUUAUUCGGAAGGAAGUUUUUUUCGAAGAGAAGUGAAGUAGUGAACCUCUCUUUCUAAACCAGAUCUUCUUAGUUUUUAGGUUUUUCUGAAAUCAAAACCUCCAUUUUGAUAACCGUUAAUAUAAUCAAAGCCUAUAUUCUAGAAAUCUCGAUCUAUUCUCUAAAAUCUUAAAGAUUUCCUAAACCUAGAAAAUCAUUUUUUUUUCUGGAAUCCAAAAUCAAUUCAUCUGAUAGUUGAUUGUGUUGGUGAUUAUCAUCAGUGGCAGGACAUAGUUUAAGAGGCUUAUUGAUACUUGUUGUGAUAUUCGAGGUGUUUGUGUUGCUGGUAUUGAGGGAGAACCUCUUAACCUAUAUGAGCAUGUUGGAGAAGCAAUAGGUUUUGCUGCAUGGCUAAUGUUCUUCGCUCGUACACUCCAAUAUUCCGGUUCCCUGGGUUACUUUCAUUUAUUGGUUAAGAUUUAUCCAAAGGGAAAAUGAGCCAGCAUCUGGCGUGUAUAAAACCAGACGAUAUGCUCUAAGGAGGUUCGAUGAGAAGAGAGUUACAUCAAGAAACUUAUAGGAUUUGGCUCUAAUAGAUUUUCCGAGAUUUUUGAAGAAAUCGAAGACAUGGCUCCUGAGAUACAGGUGUUAUCUGUGAAUAAUGCACGUCUUUUCAGCAGUCCAAAGGCUUGUAAAGUUUGACAGCUAUUUCACAUUCAGGAUGAGGAGACUGAGCUUGCAGAUGUGGCUGCUGUUAGUGCAAGAUACAACUUAAGAAUCAUGGAAAGAUGAUUGCUAAGCAAUGAGUAGAGGAUGGAUGAAGGGUGUACUGACAGUUGAAGAACCAAAGAGCUCUGAGAACAGCCUCUGGAUGCAAUUUGACUGUGGUUAAAUUUCCCCAUACUUCGUUACAGACGGUGAAGAACUGUGAAGUGCUGAAAAAGAAUCGAGGAUUUGAAUCAAUCAUUGUUUUUGGAGUUAAAAGAGAGUUCUUAUUCUCUUGAUAUUUCUUGUCAGGGAACCAGGAGUUACACGUGUUUUUGAGAAGAAAAGGAAGUCAGGUCUCUUUAGAAACCAAAUCCGUGAGAAGAGGAGGUCGGUCUUUCCCCAGUGAGCUGCUAUGCUAGUUCUGUUGCCACCAGCCAAGGGUUCGACGGUUAUUUAUCAGAGAUCAACAACUCCACUUAAAACCAACCAAGGGGUACAGAUUUCAAUGGAGAUUUGGGUCAAAUGCUGGAGUUAAGAAUCAGUCGAGAGAAGCUGUUGAAGACAUGGAUUUGGGAUGAAUCAGUAGCUUGAGUUUGUGUGGUGGUUGUAACUCAAUAUUGCAGGAUGAAUUGGGUGCUAAGUGAUGAACAUCUGCUGGAGUUUCAAGAUUAAUUGAACCAUAGAAUGUAAUUGUGCUGUCGGUGGUUAAAUGAGGACCAAAUGUGAACACAUGUGAAUGUUAAAUGGUUUCUGAAUUAUGGGUUUACUGUGAAUUGAAUUUGCAGGUGUUUAGUGAUUUUAAAAGCUAUAGAACUUCAAUGCUACAACAAGAUGAGAAUGGUACAUCAGCUGUUCGAUAAAAGGCCUGAAUCGUCUUGUUGUCAACCAACAGUCUCUCCGCAAGGGUUGUUGCUGCAAUGGUUUAUGUGGCUGCUUGCAAUAUUCUGGUGUCUGCACUGGAUUGAGCUGAGUCUUAGAAGUUGGUAAGAAGGAAGAGGGUUAUUGGCAGUUGAUACAGAGAACGGCAACUGAGCUGAAAUGGGUUUUUGAAUCUGAAAAGUGCGGUUUGGUUUGAGCUUGUUCUGUGAAGUCAAAUCAAAAAAGGAAGUGGUAUGAGUGUUAAAGUUGAUGUGUGAUGCUGUCUGAGCUGUGAUUCAAACUUGUGGCAGUCUGAUGGAGUUUACUAAAACUCAGUUGAGAAGAGAGCAAGAUAGACAAGGACAAGGAAGUUUAUGUCAUUGAUAUCAUGGGUUUGUAAAUGGAAGCAAAGUUACUGGAAUUUGCGGGGGUUUUGGUUGAGUUUUGAGAUUGUGUUGCUGCCAUGAGACGGUGGAUUGUUUGCCAUGGUGCAGGUGGUCUGUCUAACGGAGUUUGGAGCUGGUUUUGAAGGCAAGGAGGGAACAUAAGUUAACCUUGGCUGGAAUAUGGAGUUGCUAGGAGGUCCAUAAGCUGAUCACUAACCAAGUGUUGCCGUAACUGAAGCAGUAUGCCCUAGUCUGUGCAGCUAUUAUCCAUGGUCUUGUGAGCAUCGAAUGAUUUGUGUUUGGCAUAAGGUAGGACGUGAUUUAGAAGGCUACAGGUUAUGAAGAUUUGGGUACCAGCUAGUCUGGAUAUUAGAUAGAGAUGUUGCUGAUAGUUUUGGGUUGGUGAAUGGUUGAGAUUUUUCUGCGUGGAUAUUGUGUGUAUGUUUGGAAUUGUGGUUUAGCCAUCCUAUUCGAACUUGCAGGAGAAAGAAGCUAUAUAAGCAUGAAGAAAAAUACAGAGGAAACCUACCUUGACAUCACCGUUUUGAUGUUUGCAAAGUGCUUGAUAGAGAUCCUGAAAGAGCUUGCCUGCACCUGUUCUACACAGCAGCAACUUGUUUGCUGCCUGGGUUUAAUCUCAACUUUUCUUUCUUUUAAUCAUCUUUAAUCCGUAUAUCUUAUUUUUGAGAACAAUUAUUAUUUUGAGUAGCUAAAACUAUCUUUGAUUGAGGACAAUUUCGAAGCCCGGAAUACGGAUUAUUAACUGAUAUGCAAUAGCAACGGAAAGCAUGAACUUGCAGGAAACAUUCAGACAUCGAUGGAAGACCUUGAAAAACUUUAUGUGGGAAAAGUUGGAGAAAAAUUUCAUAUACAACAUGAAUAGGUUCUUGCUUGAAAAUUUGUUCAGAACUGUGAUGAUGAAUUUUUGACGUUCGAGUUGGAUUACAAUAAGGGUAGUUGUUCUACAAACUAAAAACGCAAGGAAAGCAAGUGAAGAUAUUUUAUCGACUUAUUCUAUACCUACAGAUAUCAGUUUUGCUAGAAUUCACAUUGCACACUCGUUGAAUGGAGAGAUUGCGUUGUCUUACUUCUGUAGAAAUAGCCUUUAAUUCUGAACAUGAAAUCCUGUCUCGGCAUAUAUAAUUCUGCUAUUCAUCGAAGAAUUUAGUAGUGGAGCUUCAGCAGGCUUGGGUUGCUCUUGCCGUAUAGCAUUCUACCUGAGAAUUUUAUUCGAUCACAUCGACUCU